rnacentral:lncRNA from 1 species
AAUGAAAAUUCAUUUGAAUACUAUUAGAUAUUUUAAUUUAGCUACUUAAAAUAAUAAGUGGGCCAUCAAGUAAGAGCACCUUCGCUCUUGCAGAGAACCCAGGUUCAGUUCCCAGCACUCACAUGGUGAGUUAUAACCAUCUGUAGUGCCGAUUCUAGGGAAUCUGACACCGUCUUCUGACCUCUGCAGACUCCAGGCAUGCCUGUGCACACACCAGGUAAAAGCUAAGUGCACAUAAAACAAAUGUAUCUAGAACUUUUAGUAGUGAUUAUACAUUCUUUAUAAGUAGAAGAUUUGGUCACUGUCUUCCUCGAAAAAAGUCUUAAGUGAUGGUUUAAUCAUAAUAGAAUGCUGCAGUCUAUCAGGCAAACAUCCCAGCCAGUAGCAUUGCUCUGGGCUGUUUGACAGAAAAUGAGUGCUACAUCAUUGAAUUAGACUGCAAGGGAAAUUUUAACAGUCAGUGUAUAAUUACCAGACUUGGAUCAGACCAAAAAACUGAGGUUAGCACUUAUUCUUUUGAAAUAUACCCUGAGAACUGUAGUGAGGACAAGGAUUGGAUAUGGAAGGAAGGGGGGAGUAGAAGGAUAAGGGAUGGGAGGAGACUCCUUCAGCAGUACUAUAGCACUUUGUAAACCUUGGGCUUGUUUUGAAGAGUGCUGUGCUGGCCUCUGACUGUUUCUUAGAGCACUUGAGGCUUCUUUCAGUCUCUCCUGUCACUAGGACUUAACCUUGCCUAAAAGGUUAAACAAAGCAAAGCAAAAGAGACAGUGAGAUAUAGGGAAACCUUCAGAGACAAAUCGUGGAAUCCCAGCUACACAGGAGAGCAAAGCAGGAGGACUGAAAAAGUUGUAGGCUUACCUGAGUUACAGAGUCAGUUCAAGGCUAAACUUAUUAGCAAGACCCUCCUCAACAUAAAAAAUAGAAAUGGGUUGGAGAUACAGCACAGUGGUAGAGGCUUGCUUCCCAUGUGUAUGACCCUAAAUUUAAUCCCCAUAACCACACAGAUGCUAACUAAAACCUGUUUCUUUUGAUAUUGUUGGGAGAAUAAAAUGCAAAUUAGUUCUUUUUUUUUUAAUCUUAAUUUGAUAUAUUAAAAGGUUUCAGAUGCAGUUACAGGUGUUCUAUAAAUAUAUAAUAAUUCUCUCUGUUCCCAUGGUGACCACCAGCCUUACGAAGAACAAAACAGAAUAUACAGAUUCAUUGUUGAAAGACUGAGAUUACUUUUUUCAUAUAACUUGUCUAAGUAGCAAACAGGAUGAGCAUUUCUGAUGUGGCAGGCACUACCUUAGCAAAGAAAACAGCAGACAUCUACAAAGACCUUACACCACAUGCUUAGACAUUUUCACAGACUUUCCUAUCCUGUUUGCAAGAGUAAUUUAGUAAUCCCAGCACUCAGGAGGCUGAGGCAGGCAGGUCUCUGUGACUUUGAGGACAGCCAGGGCUGCUGUUGCACAGAGAAACUCUAUGGAAAAAAAUUU